AGAGUUUGAUCCUGGCUCAGGAUGAACGCUAGCUACAGGCUUAACACAUGGCAAGUCGAGGGGGCAGCGAUGGGGAGGUUUCGGCACCCCCGAUGGCGACCGGCGGAUGGGUGAGUAACGCGUAUCCAACCUGCCCCCUGUCCCGGGGACAGCCCUUAGAAAUGAGGAUUAACCCCCGGAUGGCGCGGAAUAGCCGCAUGGCUUAUCCGCCAAAUGCGAAGGACAGGGAUGGGGAUGCGUUCCAUUAGGCAGCAGGCGGGUAACGGCCCACCUGGCCGGCGAUGGAUAGGGGUUCUGAGAGGAAGGUCCCCCACACUGGAACUGAGACACGGUCCAGACUCCUACGGGAGGCAGCAGUGAGGAAUAUUGGUCAAUGGGCGGAAGCCUGAACCAGCCAAGUAGCGUGCAGGAUGACGGCCCUACGGGUUGUAAACUGCUUUUAUGCGGGGAUAAAGUUUGGGACUUGUCCCAUUUUGCAGGUACCGCAUGAAUAAGGACCGGCUAAUUCCGUGCC
rnacentral:rRNA from 1 species